rnacentral:rRNA from 1 species
UACGUAGGGUGCGAGCGUUGUCCGGAAUUACUGGGCGUAAAGGGCGCGUAGGCGGAUGUUUAAGUCGGGGGUGAAAGCCCAGGGCUCAACCCUGGAAUUGCCUUCGAUACUGGACAUCUUGAGUACGGGAGAGGUGAGUGGAACUCCGAGUGUAGAGGUGAAAUUCGUAGAUAUUCGGAAGAACACCAGUGGCGAAGGCGACUCACUGGCCCGUUACUGACGCUGAUGCGCGAAAGCGUGGGGAGCAAACAGG